AGCCACUUGAUAUUCUUUCUUGUGUGUGAUGUCUCUUGAUUGCUUGCACAUAUGCCUUGGCUUGACUCUGUUGAUAAUUCUUGAUUGAUAUGCAUGUUUGAAAGUGAUAAAGGCAGUUUUGUUGUUGAGCCUCUCUAUCGAGAUGAGCCUACCCUGUUUUGAUCCUUUGAUAGCCCCUUUGAGCCUAUGCUUUCCCCAUUUCUUUGUUUUGAAGCCGAUACACUAGCCCUAAGUGAAAAACCUUGAUUACCUUAACCUUAGGGAAUUUUGGAGCUUUGGAAUUGUUUUGGGAAUAAGUGUGGUCUCCCCGGGGAUUCUGAUUAGUUGGCUAGUUAAUGCCUCUUCUUGUUUUGUUUUUGUAAAUAUGAUGUGUAUCUUUUCUCUUACAUUUGUAUCUAAAGAAAAAAAAAGACAAGAUGAAAAAAUAAAUAGAGAAAAAAAAAUUGUGAAUAAUGGAGUUAAGAAGAGGAUUGAAUUAGAGGUUUUGGGUGUGAUUUGAUUUUAUUUUCACUUGUUCCCCAUUGCUCCUCUAUUUCUUUUGGUUUAUAGCUUCUCAUCCAUAUUAUAUCAUCCCUUGC
rnacentral:lncRNA from 1 species